rnacentral:lncRNA from 7 species
CUUUUGCAGCGAAAUCCCGCUCCUUAUGUUAUGAAGGCAUCUUCUGCAUAGAGUCUACAUUGCUUGAUUUAUACACAGUCAUUUGGAGGACCUCCACACUUCUAUCUGUCAUCCCAGGAUGAGGUGUGAACAAUCCAUUUACCCAGUGGGAAAUUAAAGAAAACCUGAAGUAAGGAGAAUAAUCGGAUUGUUUCAGUUCCUGCCUCUAUCAGUUGCUAUUCUGUGCCUCUUCUCUCCCUGCACUGUGACACAGUUAUUUCCUCAGGUUACCCUUUCUCUUGUAUCAGUGGCCAGACAGUCCAUGGUAACCAUGAAUGUUUGGAUUCAGAAAUGGAACCUAGCUGGAAAUGUGUGAAGUUUUGCUUUUAUUUAAGUUGAAUGUCAUCCUUUCUUUAGAGAAGACAAGAUGAGAAAGGAAAGUACAACUUAUCCACUGUAUUGACAUUUGGGUUUGGGAAGUACGAAAAUAUGUGAGCUGCACAUUCUAUUAAUAUUAAUAAUGUUAAAAAAGAAUCCUCUCACUCGGGCUUCGUGUUAAUCUUACAUGAUUCAACUCCUGGUUGCAUAAUGAAUAUCUUACAUAUUUAAUAAGCAAUUUGAAGUAGGCCCAAAUGAGUGAACAACAUAGUGCUGUAAAAAAGAAACAGGGAUGGGGAAAUUCUUGUCAGAUGAGGUUGCUGAAGAAAAAAAAGCUGAUCUAUUGACAUUUUUAUGUCUCCUAUCAAAUGUCAUUGUGAAUUGAAAGUGGAAUGUCUAAAAAAAAAAAAAAAAGCAGCACCAAUUUCUGUAUAACCUGAUGAAUGUACUUCCAUUGUUUCCAGGAAAUCAUAUGAAAAAGGUCAUUGCUCUAUGUAUGAAAAUACCAUGGCAGUUGCUCUAUUGCUCUUUCAAUUUAGAAUAAGCACUUGAAUGUCAUCAAAGAGAAAUAGCUGAUAUUCCGUAAUUAAAAGUAGAUUUUGAUUUACAGUGGGGAAGAGGAUAAGAAUGAAUCCCCCCAUGCUGCUGAGGUAGACAUGCAGCUUAUUCAGAAAUAAAAUAAACUCUCCAAAGGAUGAAGGAAAAAUAUGACUAAAUUAAAAUAUCUGGCGUAUGAAAAUGUGUAUAUGAAAGGAACUGGAAAAUUCCUCCUUCUUGUGCUAUUCUGCAAGUAACUCCUUUGGGUAAAACCUGUGCCAUAGCAACAGAUAAAACCUUUAUGAGGUGCAAAGUUUUGCUAUGAAAAUGAAGGUUUUCUAUUCCGGUUCAGUUGAUGUCUUGAAAUGAAAUUAAGUCUGGUGUAAGUAUUUAGUGAAUUAUCGUCAUUUUUAAAGAUGCAUUUUUUAAGAGUAUAGCAGCGAAGACUCUGGAGUGCUUUUAGGGAAUAAAGCACACACGAACACUGCAUCUUACCGCUAGAGAUGAAAAGCAG